GAUGAACGCUGGCGGUAUGCCUAACACAUGCAAGUCGAACGACAGCACAGUAAGCGCUCGCUCUUACGGGUAGCGGGGGACGGGCGAGUAACGCGUAGAUCGGCAUCUACUUAGUCGGGGGGGACAACGGGGGACAACUGACAAUAAUGCCUCAUACCAUCAACGGGUGGAAUCAAGGGUGCUUGAGGCCUUUGCCGAUUGAAUGAGCGGAUGUCGGAUUAGCUAGUUGGCGGGGUAAAGGCCCACCAAGGCGACGAUCCGUAGCUGGUCUGAGAGGAUGAUCGGCCACACUGGAACUGAGACACGGUCCAGACUCCUACGGGAGGCAGCAGUGGGGAAUAUUGGACAAUGGGCGAAAGCCUGAUGCAGCCAUACCGCGUGGGUGAAGAAGGUCUUCGGGUUGUAAAGCCCUUUUGUUGGGAAAGAAAAGCAGCAGGUUAAUACCCCGCUGUUCUGACGGUACCCAAAGAAUAAGCACCGGCUAACUUCGUG
rnacentral:rRNA from 1 species